CCUACGGGAGACAGCAGUGAGGAAUAUUGGUCAAUGGGCGAGAGCCUGAACCAGCCAAGUCGCGUGAGGGAGUACUGCCCUAUGGGUUGUAAACCUCUUUUGUCGGGGAGCAAAAGCCGGACGUGUCCGGCUGUGAGAGUACCCGAAGAAAAAGCAUCGGCUAACUCCGUGCCAGCAGCCGCGGUAAUACGGAGGGUCCGGGCGUUAUCCGGAUUUAUUGGGUUUAAAGGGAGCGCAGGCCGCCCCUUAAGCGUGUUGUGAAAUGCCGCGGCUCAACCGUGGCACUGCAGCGCGAACUGGGGGGCUUGAGUGCGCCGGAGGUAGGCGGAAUUCGUGGUGUAGCGGUGAAAUGCUUAGAUAUCACGAAGAACUCCGAUUGCGAAGGCAGCCUACCGUAGCGUUACUGACGCUGAGGCUCGAAGGUGCGGGUAUCGAACAGGAUUAGAUACCCGAGUAGUC
rnacentral:rRNA from 1 species